rnacentral:rRNA from 1 species
UACGAAGGGGGCUAGCGUUGCUCGGAAUCACUGGGCGUAAAGCGCACGUAGGCGGCUUCUUAAGUCAGGGGUGAAAUCCUGGAGCUCAACUCCAGAACUGCCUUUGAUACUGGGAAGCUCGAGUUCGGGAGAGGUGAGUGGAACUCCGAGUGUAGAGGUGAAAUUCGUAGAUAUUCGGAAGAACACCAGUGGCGAAGGCGGAUCUCUGGGCCAUUACUGACGCUGAGGAGCGAAAGCGUGGGGAGCGAACAGG